rnacentral:lncRNA from 1 species
UGUCACCAGUAACAUGAUUGACAGGACAGCUGAUCUCCACUAGGAGGCCAGUAGUGGCAGCGUUGUUUAUGGCCGCGCGCACGCACGGCCCCAGCGACCCGGAGACGCAUGUUCUUGGGGCUUCGCGCAUGCGCAGUACCGCCGCCCCAACGUCUUGGGUACGCAAGACGCUUGGGUACC